UCCCUAGAACCCGAGAAAACACAAAAUUUUUGAAUACUCAUUCUAGUACGAGUCUAACCAUAAUAAUUUCAUCCAAUUCUGACUCCAAAUAGGAGUUCAAAUCUCACAUUUAUACUUCAGAUAUAAUUUUAUUAAAAUAUAAAAUACAUCGACAACCUCAUACCUUUUACUUACACACUCUAUCUUAAGCCAGUUACACUAGAACAUGUCAAUCAUAGCAAAACUCCUCCGUCCUCUUCUCGACGACUCCCUACUUUGUCUUAGCAAAACUCUCUGCAGCCUUCGUUUUCUUCCCGGAUCUGAUGUGACACGAGAAAGCAAAAAAUGUUUUUAGGUAUGAUAAAAAACUCUCAAAUCUAAAAUAACUUUCCUAAAUUUUCAGAUUCGAAAAGAUAUUUUCCAGCCAAAGUAACUUUCAGAUCGUUGUAACCUUUGUAAGUUGCAGAUAUUGAAAGUUUCCUCUAAAAUCCAAAAAGCUUCGUAACCCAUUAAUAACCUUUAUGAGUUGCAAUUUCCUUUGCCAUCACUCAUUUUCUCUCUUCUCUUGGCUCGCCGGAAAACUCUCUAUCACAUUCAUCGAACUGCUGUAAGUCAGGAGGAAUAGAAUAAGGGGGUGAGUGGAAUAUAUGAUUAUAUCAAUGGAGAUAUAAUGGUGUGAAUGACGAUAAAUUAAAAGAAACAUUUACAGGAAAGUAUUUCCAACAAAAACUAUUCAUUUUUGACAAGAAAGAUCAGAAGUUUAUUUUCUGGACCAUUU
rnacentral:lncRNA from 1 species